GCCUCUAUCGUCUAACGGAUAAGACAAGGGUCUUCUAUACCUUUAAUGUGGGUUCGAUUCCUACUAGGGGCU
rnacentral:tRNA from 1 species